rnacentral:lncRNA from 1 species
UGGACAUGUUUUUUGAUAGAAUCCCUCUCUUAAUCCGCCUAAGACCUCCGGUUCUACAUGUUCUUCUGCAGUCUGAGGUACCUGUUGUUCCGCAUCCUGAGGUACAUGCUGUUCAUUAGCCUGAGGUUGCUGUUGUUCUGCUGUCUGAGGUACAUGUUGUUCUGCAUUCUGAGGUACGUUUUCUUCUUUAGUAUGAGGUUGUUGUUGUUCGAUAUUCUGGUGUUGCUGUUGUUCUGCAGUCUGAGGUACAUUAUGUCCGGUGACACCACGCGCAAAUGCACCUACAACUUUCUGGGUGCCUUUAAUGAGGUGGUGAAAACCGAAAGCCAUAGAACCACGGGCAUGAAACUUCUUCCCCGUCUUGUGAUGACUCAUGAACAACUUCUUCCAUCCCG